UACGGAGGGGGCGAGCGUUAUUCGGAAUUAUUGGGCGUAAAGGGCGCGUAGGCGGCUUGACAAGUCAAAGGUGAAAUCCCUCGGCUCAACUGAGGAACUGCCUUUGAAACUGUCUGGCUAGAGGUUUGGAGGGGGGACUGGAAUUCUCGGUGUAGCAGUGAAAUGCGUAGAUAUCAAGUGGAACACCAGUGGCGAAGGCGAAUCCCUGGAAAAUACCUGACACUGAGGCACGAAAGCUAGGGGAGCAAACAGG
rnacentral:rRNA from 1 species